GGAGGUGAGGGUUCGGUGAGAGAGGAGAGGUGGUAGAGGACAUUCGGGAGGUAAGGGUCAAGAUGAUGGUCAGACGAGCUGAGGGGUGGGCCUUCUGCCGGCUGGAAACCCGAGUAGAGCGUAUGCCUUCGAACUGGGCAGUCCGAGAAGGCCUCGACCGGAGCAGCCGGGACCAUACGAGGACUCGCAGGCGCCUGAGUGGCGACGAAGACGGCGCUGCGCAGGCGCGGUGUGAUCAUCGAGCCCGCGCAGGCGCAGUCUGGCGGCGGCCCCUGAGCACGCGCGGAGUGGACGCCCGUGGUUGGCAGGCGGGUUCAACAGUCUCGUCUACUGUGUCAGGUGUGUCUCGCCCGUCUCUGUCGCCUGUCAUGCUUUCCGCAGGGGCGUUUGUGGUGUGCGGCCGCCGCCAUGUAGGAGCCUCCGCAGGGAGCCGGCCCUGCCUUUCACGCGCGCGGCUCAGGCCUGCUCUCCCCUCGGCGCGCAUCGGGGCGACGCACUCUGCUCUUCCAGCCCGCGCAGGCCGGUGACGCCAUCGGAAGGCGACCGGAAGAGCCGGCGCCGCGUGUCCGUCAGACUAUGGCUCCGCGUCACCUCCGCCCCUCCCCUCUUCCUGUGUCCCCUCUCCGUAUCCCGUCCCUUUUUCCCUUUUCUGACUGCAAAGUGGGCCUCUUUAACCUGCUUCUGGGCCCCGUGGGGAAGAAUGAGAAGCAGAGUAGGAGGCGAGGGAGCAAGGAGCGAAGGAAGGCCCUCCCUGCAGAUUGUCUGCAAUCAGGCCACACUUUGGUUGGAGCAGGUGCACGGAUGAAUUUGUCUCUUUCAAGUAAACAGUCACUCGUGACCUCGUGCACCAAGAGGAAGGUGUCCUGGAGCUGCAUCCUUCCUGCGUGGGCCAUGGGGGCGUGAGUGCGAGGAGUGGCUCUGGCCAUUAGGAGCCCUUGAUAUCAGACUCCUUGAUAUUUACUCCGUGAAGUCCUCAAGGAUGUCCUUCUUUCCAACAUCCUGUUUGCACCUGGAGAUGUGGGGUCAGUUUGCAAGGAAAAUGAAGUCGUUCAGACAGCUGGUCCCUGGAGAGACGAUUUACUGCAUAAAUGGCGAAAUCGAAGGAUGAACACUGAUGGUGGCAGUGAUGAAAAGAGGAAAUGUGCAGUGUUAUUUCGCAACAUUUACUAUUUUGGAAAACUUGAAUUUUGUCCGCAUGUAUUUUUAAAAUGUCUUUGGAGCUGUCCUUGGAGGAAAAGACAUGAUGCAGAUUUCACCAAAGGUCCGUCUGCUUUGUUGUCCACAUCUUCAGGAAACAGCUCCAUGGAGAAGGGGAACCAUCCCUCAACACACAUGGCCAAGGGAUGGACGUGCAAGCAACCCCCCAGAUCAGGUCACGGGGGUCAUAGGAGGAAAGCCAGCUCUCAAGGGGCCCUGGGACCUCGCAGCCCAGGCCAGAGGGGAGAAGGGACCUGCCCAGGGUCCCUUGGCAUGGCCUGUUCUGUGUACAAGGGGAGGCGUGCUGCCCCACGGCCACCGGCUGCCUGCAAGAGAGCCAGGCUUCAUGGUCCAGGCUCAGCAUCGGACCUUCCCCUGACCCCCCUUGGGCUUUGUGCGGCCUUUGUUUCUUGAGGCUUGUUUGCUCCUAUGUGAGCCAGUACCGCUGAGACGCUGUCCCGGUUGUUUUUAAGGCUCCCCUGUAGGAGGCUGCCAGGCUGAUGGUCACGGGCUGGUGAUACCUGUGCAGCUCCCCGCCCUUCCUUCUCACUGAGACUCGGGAAGUUAAGAAAUAUGGAAAGAACAAACAAACAAAGUAAAGGAGACACAAGUCGCCCACAG